GACGAACGCUGGCGGCGUGCUUAACACAUGCAGGUCGAACGAAGAGCGAUGGAAGCUUGCUUCUAUCAAUCUUAGUGGCGAACGGGUGAGUAACGCGUAAUCAACCUGCCCUUCAGAGGGGGACAACAGUUGGAAACGACUGCUAAUACCGCAUACGAUCUAACCUCGGCAUCGAGGAUGGAUGAAAGGUGGCCUCUAUUUAUAAGCUAUCACUGCAGGAGGGGAUUGCGUCUGAUUAGCUAGUUGGAGGGGUAACGGCCCACCAAGGCGAUGAUCAGUAGCCGGUCUGAGAGGAUGAACGGCCACAUUGGGACUGAGACACGGCCCAGACUCCUACGGGAGGCAGCAGUGGGGAAUCUUCCGCAAUAGACGAAAGUCUGACGGAGCAACGCCGCGUGAGUGAUGACGGCCUUCGGGUUGUAAAGCUCUGUUAAUCGGGACGAAAGGCCUUCUUGCGAAUAGUUAGAAGGAUUGACGGUACCGGAAUAGAAAGCCACGGCUAACUACGUG
rnacentral:rRNA from 1 species